rfam:TPA: Bos taurus chromosome 11, whole genome shotgun sequence.
UCCCUGGUGGUCCAGUGGUAAAAACUCUAUGCUUCCAAUGCAGGGGUCCCAAGUUCGAUCCCUGGUCAGGGAA